rnacentral:tRNA from 1 species
CUGCUCGGUGGCGAAGCAGGCCACGCCUUCCUUGCCGGGAGGGCCGGCGUUGAUCACGUAGCCGGGGUUGGGACUCAUCCAGUCGGGCAGGC